rnacentral:rRNA from 1 species
AUUGAACGCUGGCGGCAGGCCUAACACAUGCAAGUCGAACGAGUGGCGGACGGGUGAGUAAUGUCUGGGAAACUGCCUGAUGGAGGGGGAUAACUACUGGAAACGGUAACUAAUACCGCAUACCCUCGGAUGUGCCCGGAUGGGAUUAGCUAGUAGGUGGGGUAACGCCUCACCUAUGCGACGAUCCCUAGCUGGUCUGAGAGGAUGACCAGCAACACUGGAACGGGGACACGGUCCAGACUCCUACGGGAGGCAGCAGUGGGGAAUAUUGAACAAUGGGCGCAAGCCUGAUGCAGCCAUGCCGCGUGUAUAAAGAAGGCCUUCGGGUUGUAAAGUACUUUCAGCGGGGAGGCGUUACCCGCAGAAGAAGCACCGGCUAACUCCGUGCCAGCAGCCGCGGUAAUUC